rnacentral:rRNA from 1 species
UACGAAGGGGGCUAGCGUUGCUCGGAAUCACUGGGCGUAAAGGGUGCGUAGGCGGGUCUUUAAGUCAGGGGUGAAAUCCUGGAGCUCAACUCCAGAACUGCCUUUGAUACUGAAGAUCUUGAGUUCGGGAGAGGUGAGUGGAACUGCGAGUGUAGAGGUGAAUUCGUAGAUAUUCGCAAGAACACCAGUGGCGAAGGCGGCUGUCUGGUCCGGUUCUGACGCUGAGGCGAGCAAGCGGUGGGAGCAAACAGG